rnacentral:lncRNA from 1 species
GAACUCGGCACAUUUCGGGGUUCUUGUCUUGGCCUUCAUAUACUAUCGCCUGCUUGGUCAUGGAGUCGAUGAGGCGAACGUAGAAAUCCUGUUCCGUCCUGAUCCCAUUGCUGUAGAGCAGCUGCAGGCGGUAGUGGAUCCCGUUGUUGGUCUUUUCGCUGUUAGCUUCCUUCUCCUUCUCCACGAAGCCCACGAAGGCGGUGCGCUCGAUCUCCACGGGCUGCCCCUGCCGGUCAUACAGAGCCAGGACGAAGUGGAAAAAGUUGGACUUCCUCAGGUUGGAAGGAGGCUGCUUCUCGAAGUGAGCCCGGGCCAGACCCACUCCGCUCUGCGCGGCCGUGCUGGCGUCCAGGACGCCCGCUCCCUGCAUCCACGUCCGCACCGCGUUCAUCCCCGCGCCGAGGGGCUCCUCCUUCAUGCUGCUCCCGCUCCGCUGGAUGCUUUCCUGGAUCCCAAACAUGAAUCAGAAACAACAGCGCAAAAUCUUCCUUCUUU